UGGAAGCGUCUGGAAAGGCGCGCGAUACAGGGUGACAGCCCCGUACACAAAAGCGCAUGUGCUGUGAGCUCGAUGAGUAGGGCGGGACACGUGGUAUCCUGUCUGAAUAUGGGGGGACCAUCCUCCAAGGCUAAAUACUCCUGACUGACCGAUAGUGAACCAGUACCGUGAGGGAAAGGCGAAAAGAACCCCGGCGAGGGGAGUGAAAAAGAACCUGAAACCGUGUACGUACAAGCAGUGGGAGCACCCUUUGGGGUGUGACUGCGUACCUUUUGUAUAAUGGGUCAGCGACUUAUAUUCUGUAGCAAGGUUAACCGAAUAGGGGAGCCGCAGGGAAACCGAGUCUUAAUUGGGCGUUAAGUUGCAGGGUAUAGACCCGAAACCCGGUGAUCUAGCCAUGGGCAGGUUGAAGGUUGGGUAACACUAACUGGAGGACCGAACCGACUAAUGUUGAAAAAUUAGCGGAUGACCUGUGGCUGGGGGUGAAAGGCCAAUCAAACCGGGAGAUAGCUGGUUCUCCCCGAAAGCUAUUUAGGUAGCGCCUCGUGAACUCAUCUCCGGGGGUAGAGCACUGUUUCGGCUAGGGGGCCAUCCCGGCUUACCAACCCGAUGCAAACUGCGAAUACCGGAGAAUGUUAUCACGGGAGACACACGGCGGGUGCUAACGUCCGUCGUGAAGAGGGAAACAACCCAGACCGCCAGCUAAGGUCCCAAAGUCAUGGUUAAGUGGGAAACGAUGUGGGAAGGCCCAGACAGCCAGGAUGUUGGCUUAGAAGCAGCCAUCAUUUAAAGAAAGCGUAAUAGCUCACUGGUCGAGUCGGCCUGCGCGGAAGAUGUAACGGGGCUAAACCAUGCACCGAAGCUGCGGCAGCGACGCUGAUGCGUUGUUGGGUAGGGGAGCGUUCUGUAAGCCUGUGAAGGUGGCCUGUGAGGGUUGCUGGAGGUAUCAGAAGUGCGAAUGCUGACAUAAGUAACGAUAAAGCGGGUGAAAAGCCCGCUCGCCGGAAGACCAAGGGUUCCUGUCCAACGUUAAUCGGGGCAGGGUGAGUCGACCCCUAAGGCGAGGCCGAAAGGCGUAGUCGAUGGGAAACGGGUUAAUAUUCCCGUACUUGGUGUUACUGCGAAGGGGGGACGGAGAAGGCUAUGUUGGCCGGGCGACGGUUGUCCCGGUUUAAGCGUGUAGGUGUGUGUUCCAGGUAAAUCCGGUUCACUUUAACACUG
rnacentral:rRNA from 1 species